CGUCGGUGGAUGGUUGCUGGUA
rnacentral:miRNA from 8 species